rnacentral:other from 1 species
UGACCUCUGCCAUGUUCGACCACGGGGUAAUGUGUUGACCCUACAAGUUUAGACCCGAGGGAACUUUCGAUUGUUCGGCCGCGUGUAUAUCCGACUUCGUAUCGGCUCACACAACCCGGACUCGCGGUUCCCCCCUGUUUUAGCCGGGUUCUGAACAUAUUCCAUCCGACCGGCAUUGCGGUGGAGGUCUC